rnacentral:lncRNA from 1 species
UGGGGGUCUCCAGAACCAAUGGACCUGGACGCUGUUGAUUAGCCCUGAGCUAACAUAUGCUGCCAAUCCUCCUGUUUUUGCGAGGAAGACUGGCCCUGAGCUAACAUCCAUGCCCAUCUUCCUCUACUUUAUAUGUGGGAUGCCUGCCUCAGCAUCGCUUGCCAAGAAGUGCCAUGUCCACACCCAGGAUCCGAACCAGAGAACCCUGGGCCGCCAAAGUGGAACAUGUGCACUUAACUGCUGCACCACCAGGCUAGCCCCUCUGUGACUGUAUAUAGCACGCAGUGAAUACUUACAGCAUCCACAUGUCUGCUUCCACCAGGACCCAGGACUUCUCCAUGAAGACUUUCUAGACUUGUCUAUUCAAAGCCAACAGUGAACUUCUCCUGAAAAAGGGUUAUAUCAAUUUUAACUUUGUAUCCAAAGCAUGAGAACAAUGUGCUCCUGGAACAUAGUUUCUUCUGAGAUUUGUUGAUGAAUAAAGGAAAAGAAAUAACUGGAUAGGAAAGCUGUUCAUUUGUUUACCUUGUCAUCUUAACAGUCUGUUCAAAUAAUUUUGCCCAAUAUUUUUCAUUAUAUAACAACUAACCCUUAAGGACGUCUCCCAAGCCCAAACUAUCUCAAAAUAAUUAAAAUCGCAAUUGAAUUUAGGGAUGAGCUUAGUAUAGAAAUAGCCGCAGUAGUUGUUUCUAUUUGCUUGAACUCCACAAUGAGCUGUUUCAUGCUUCUUCACAUUUGAGAUAAUACUUCAAAUUUAUACCCACAAUGAAAUAAAGGCUUAAAAAUAAUCUGAUAUGACUUUUGAACCAUAAAAUUACUAGACUGGGUGGAGGGCUCAUUUUCUUCACAAAUUCAUUGUUCAUUUGGUACUCAUUCAUGCAAAUGUUGUAAUCUGUUUUAAAACCACUUCUAAGCUUUAAGAAAAAAAGAAAUAUAUAUAUAGUCAUGUAAACGAGGCUCUGGAAACUCUGCCUUCUGUUAAUCUUAAUAUCCUGAUGCAUUUUAUUCUGAAUAUUUUUAAGUUAUUUACUGCCAAAAAUAAUAUUAACACUUAUUCAAUAUCACUGUUUCAUGGCACCAGGCCUCAUGUGUAUCUAAAUACCUUUUUAAUCUUAUUCUUCGCUUGUAUAGAAUAUUUUAUUUCAAGGCCUGAAAUUUAUUUUUCUCAUGGAAUAAAAACAUCUUUGUUUGCUCUUUACUAUUUAAUUACAUUUUUCCUAUUCCAUACAAUUGUCAUCUAAUUGCAUUUGUUUCUGAUUGCUAAUCCAGUUAUGUUAGCAAGAAGAUGAAAUCUAUAGGAUAUUCUGGUUUGUGUAAUAAGCAAAAAUUGUCAAGUGUUGUGUGCUUCUGUCACAGAGAGACUGAUCUGCUAAAAAAAAUCUUUAUAAGUUAAGUUUAUUUUUUAUAGGUAAAAACAGUAAAGAGAGAAAUGGAGAAAACAAGUUAGCGAUCUAGAAUGAAUUCUCUCUAUUAAGGAAUAAGAAUAAAACUUUCAUAGAACUUAC